UACGUAGGUGGCAAGCGUUAUCCGGAAUUACUGGGCGUAAAGCGUGCGCAGGCGGUUUUGUAAGUCUGUCGUGAAAUCCCCGGGCUCAACCUGGGAAUGGCGAUGGAGACUGCAAGGCUGGAAUCUGGCAGAGGGGGGUAGAAUUCCACGUGUAGCAGUGAAAUGCGUAGAUAUGUGGAGGAACACCGAUGGCGAAGGCAGCCCCCUGGGCUAAGAUUGACGCUCAUGCACGAAAGCGUGGGGAGCAAACAGG
rnacentral:rRNA from 1 species